GAGGGAGCAGGGCGGGCGCCCGAGCGGGACACCCAGGCGGGGGCCGAGAAGGUGUUUUCUCCCCCGCCCCCAGGCUCGCAGCGAGGGAGGAGGCCGGUGGAAAGCGAGACUAGCGCCUGGCGCGGGGAAUCGAUGACUCGGCCGGUGGGCACGGCCACCUGGGCGGGGGCAGCAGGGGGGGGCGGCGGAGCGCCGAUGUCAUGGAUGGGCUCGUAGGGGCUUGCGGGAGGGGGCCGCCAGUGUUCGGGGCCGUUUUGGUGGCUAGGCGGGAUUGGCCGGAGCUGCGGUGCUCGCGCUCGCCUCGCCGACCGCCAUUUCACAUCCUGCGAAGAAGGCGGGGGCAGCCGUGGAGACGGCUUUUCACAAGGUGCCUGUGGAAUGUUACCGUUGAAAUGGAGCUUACAAGUUCUAGUCCAGUGGAUUUCAAGCCUUUUCAAAUCUCAAAAUCCUUGGUAAACAAGCCUGAGAAAAGCAAACCAGUUGUGGCUGAGUUGGGGUUGGAGGCCCAGAGCCGCCCUGACCCCUGCGAGAGCCCACCAGGGACAUUUUGACCCGCAGGACAUUUUGAAAGUCACAAGUCUAGUCCAGCGCCCUAGUCAAGCAGGGACCAUCUCCACAGCAUCUCUGUAAUCCUGGAAAGCAGGGAGAUUGCUAGCUCACAAAACAGCCAAUUCCAAAGCUGGGUGGUAUUUUCGGUCAGAAUGUUUUGCCAGAUGCUGAGCACGCCUAACUUCCUACAAAUUUUUCCCACCGGUUUUAGUUUGACCAGGUCCCAUAGUUUAGGUUGUGGCCAUGGAUGGUUGCUCAUCUAUCAUGAGCUAAGAACAGUCCCUUCCCUUGAUGUGAGCAUCGAUAUGUUCGUCAUGAACGAUUUCAUUCGAUCUUUACAACACUGUAAGUAUUAGUGACCCAUUUUACGAUUAGGGACAUGGAGGCACAGAGAAGCCUAAGCAGUUGGCCCGCAGUCACACAACUAUACAUGAGGAAGCAGAAUUUGAACCGGGUCUAUCUGACACAACAGCGUGGGUCCUUUUCACUAUGCUACUCUGCCUCUCUGGUGAGGCAGGGGUCAGAAUAGGACACAGAUGCAGGAGCCCGCUCUCCGCACAGCCCUGUCCCCUGCCCUCUUGGGACUUCACAUUUGUUGGUCAACAACCAAGUCAGCAGAGCACUGUUUUCCAGAGCCUUGGACGUUCCAGAGCACAUGUGAAUCUCCCCUUGCUCCUGAUAGGAACAGAGUCCCAGAGACGUGGUCACUUAAGACAGAGCCAGAACCAACACCCCCCACUGCUGCCUGGGCUUCUUCACCCAUCGUCAUGCCGCCUUCAGUUGGUUUCUAGUGAAGGACAGGCCUUCACAGAAGAAAGAGCCCCUCUCUGAGGGGCGGCGAGGUGCUGUGGUCCCCCCACCACUCACCAUUCGAUGAAUGUACUUAGUAUGUAAGCCAUGCUCAUCCUCGUCCAGCUGUGAUUCAGCACCUUCCACAUCCUGUUUGUAUUUGGGGCUGAUUGCUACAAUUAUCAUCACUGUCUUCUGUUAAUGAGAGAGAAAGCAUGUUUAUGGAAGUGUAAAGUGUGGUCCAUUUGGUGAAGGCAGGCUGGAAACUGGCCAGCAGGACUGUAAGCGUCGUGACAUGCUCCAGAGUGGAGGGCCUGGCUCAUUCUCUGCCCAGGGUGAAAGGCACUGGCCUCCACUCCAACAGGCUCCUGUCUCCCCUUCUCCCCUCCGUCUCCCUCCCGGCUCCCUUGAAAUGCAGAGCAAAUGGCUCUGUGAGGAGCUCUCCUAAAUGGAGGCGGUUUUGCCCACCAUUGUCCACAACCAUCACUAAUAAACGUCUAAUGAAAGCCGGAAUCGCUAAGUGACUGUGCAUCGUGGCAAAAAGGCUCUGGAACAUCACCGAUGAAAAGCCCCCUCCCUCCGGCAGCUGGGUGUAAGCUGUCAGUUACUGCACUCUUGACUGCCCUGCGCUUACGAGUCAGCACAGCCAGGAGGAGCAGCCGCUUCAACACAAAGCAAACAUCAGGCUGCAGACAAAAGGAAAAGCCACAAAACCCCAGCCUGCUGAGACUCUCUCCCCCACUGCUCUCUCCAAAAGCAGCAGCUGAAGCGGCCGACACGGACACACUGGCAGCAAUCAAUUUCUAUCUUGUUAAAGCACAAAGUGUCCCAGUGGCCAGUAUAGAUUCUGUCAGUGGAAAACAAAUCACAGGGCUCCGAGUGGGCGCCUGGAUUGGGGAGGGGGGACGGUUGCUGCACAGGGAGCCUCCCGGGAAAGCUCUGGAGCCCAAUCCUGCAAAACGCUUGGGGUGGCCUCAGAUUAAAUUGAAUUCUGUCAUUCCCUCCCCACUCCCUGCCUUCAUUUCCUCCUUUCCUAUUCUGGUCAAAAAAUUGUUUGCUCUGAUUGUUAUCAACCACCUGUGUCUGGUUUGACCGUUAUUUCCUGCCUGUGCAUGUCCAGAAGGGUGACCCCAUCCUUCCUUUCCAGGUCUUUGCGCGGCUGCCAACAAGGGAGGCUUUGUUGGGACUUUCUUGGCUUUGGACUUGGUGGGUUUGCCAAUUGCUCCUUUCAUAAAAUAGCCCCAUAAGCACAUUGUCUUUCCCACCAGCCAACGAGCUCAGAAUUUUGGAAUGUACUUACAUCUCUAAGGUAGCGUUCCAUCCACUUGAUGAUAUCAAUGCCUCGGAUUCUAUCCUCAAAUAUGUCAAUCUACAAGAAAAAGACAUGGGAGGUGGCUCUUAAUGAGAAGCUUUCUCUAGUUGCAGAGCAAGAGAAAACACGAGACUAUAUGCAUUUAAGACUGAAAAAAUUAUGAGCACUUUUUGCAGAGAGCAGCAUAUAAGUCUAAAAGCCAAAAUACAAUUUUCUUAAAGUGUUCCCUAUUUCGACGUUAGUAGGCAUUUAAGUAUUUAAUAUCCGUAAUUAGGAUAUAGUGGUACACAUCAAAAUGUAUCUUUGGCUACACAAUAAUUAUGUUUUAAAAAUCUGAGAGAUAUAGUAGACUACCAAAUUGGAUAUAAGCCAGCAAAAAAAAAAAAUUAUAUCUAUAUAUAUAUCUGUAAUAUGAAAGGCAAACACGAUAUGAUUCUGGAGCAUUUUAAUGGAUGUGUGGUGUGCAAGUACUGAGAUAUAGUUCGGGUGCUUUACUUGCAUUAGCCAGGUCAUUAUUAUGGUAUUAUGUCCAGUUUCGUUCUAUACAUUUAAGAAGGAUUGUAUGAAACUUGGAGCAAAUCCAAGGAACAGUCACAAAAACAAUUACUGAGAUGGUGGGAAAAGGUUUAUGAUGAAAGUCAAGAAGCAGAACCUCCUGGGCCUUGAAAAGAUAGAUAUUAAAUAUCAAGUCUUUGAAGGAGUAUUUGAAGGGGAGAAAAACCAGUUACUUUCUGUUUUUUCAGAAGACCAAAUAAGAAGGCCUUUCUGGGGCUCAGGCUUUGCCCUGCAGCCAGAGAGUAAUGUACAUGUGUACAAGAUGCUCUUGUUUGGAAGAGGGAUUAUAUACAAGAAUGGGUGACUCGGGGAGAGUGUCCUUGAGGAGGAGUUACUUGGUUCGGCCACACCGUUCUCAGAUCAGUUGUCCUAAAUGUCACUCCGCCAUUGAAGUCCUAGCUGUUCAGUAAGCUCUCCAUGCCAUCCGUGACCCAGCCUUACCUCUUGUUUCAUGUGCCCUGUCUACUUUACUCCCCCACACCCCAAUAGCAUAGCCCAAGCCUCCCUGCUCUGUGACUCCUUCCCACUCUCUGACUUCCUCCUCCUCACCUCACCCGACUCAGCCCUGCUGUGACCAGUGGUGUUAGACACUUAACACAUCAUUAUAACAUCCUUUCAUUCACUGUAUGACUCAUUUAUGUCUGCCUUAUCUCUUCAACCUAGUUCUGAUCUUCCUGUGGAACGAGAAAGUGCCUCGAGAACACCGAACUGUCAAACACAUACAGUAUAUAAUACAAGUUCAGAAUAUAUUUCUUUACCGAUGGCACAUUAAAAAUAGAAUGGCUUUCCUUUUGGUUUAGAUGAUUCCUGCUUUAAAAUGUCUGAUAGCCAAUGACCACAUGAGGUGAUCUCGAGAAAGCUUGUAGCUCUCUGUGACUGUAUCAGGAAUUCAUUUCUAUUAUAUGAGACAGAAGCAAUAUAAUGUUGGGGUUGAGAGGGAACGGGCAGCUUGGCUCUACUCUUGGUUCUACUGUUGGCUUCUGCACUUCCUGCUUGCAUAACUUUAAAACAUUACAGAAACUCUCUAAGUCUUAUUAUCCUUAUUUGUAAUAUGUGGUUACUAAACCUACUUCCAAGGAUGGUUAUGAGGAUUAAAACAAUUGGUUAUGAAAAAGGUAUAUCAUAAUGCCAGGCUUGAAGUAAGUACUCAAUGAAUGGUAAUUUUUGUUGUUAACUGAGCACCUAAAUUAUUCCCUGCUACUGAGGUGAACUUUCUGGGAGGCACAAUGUGCUUGAUAUCUCUCAUUUGUCUCUCCAGGUCUCUACCAAAGUCCACAGCAUCUGUCAGGCCAACUUUUCCACACAGCCGCUGUUAAAGGCCACAUUGUUUCCCCCAAAACUCACAUGUUGAAGUCUUAACCUCCACUGACUCAAUGUGACUAUAUUUGGAGAUAGAGCCUUGAGAGAGAUGAUUAAGGAAAUGACCUCGUUCCUGAUGGCUGUUGCUAAUUUAUGGUGAAACACUAGGUCCCUGGCCAAUACCACAUGGACAUCCAAUCAAUUUACCCAGGGACAAGUCCACUCAAGAGCAUCAUUUAGAAGAGAGAAGCGUUGGAGUUAUUUGUUGUUGGAGUAUACGUUUAAGAAAAUCUAAUGUAUUCCCAUGAACAUUGUACUGAGAGGAACACACAGAUGCACUCAUGUGAGAUCUGGAAAGCCAGAGGAAAUAUGCUUCUGCCACUUCUGUGGUUUCUGUUGAUUAGUGCUACCAUCAGGUGCUGAGUUCCUGGGGAAGCACCCCAGUGUCCAUUACCAGCUCCCAUGUCAAGGUGAGGGCAGAGGCAUCCAUUGUUGGCCAGUGCAGAUCCAGCAGGCACAGAAUGGACCCAAUAAUUGCAGCGCCAGUGGCUUCCUGAUCCUGGACUGUACUAUGGCGACAUGGCCUUGAAUGGAGGGUUCUCUGAUGGCUUUCUGAUCUUCUGCCUCUCCCACUGUGACGGAGGAAGCAGCUUUUUUGGCAUCCUGUUCUUUGGUGCUGCUCUGGGGUCAUUCCUGGAAGCCUGGCCUGAAGCUUGCCCUUCCAACCUCCAGCGAUUCUGUAAGCACCCGAUUCCCUGCAUUAAAUCCUUUCUGCUGAAAAUAGCUAUUUUCUAUAACUGAAUCCUGACCGAUAGGGGGACUACACCUGCAUCUGUAAUGUUUUAUUUCUUUAAAAAGGCUCUGGACUAUGUAUGGCAGUAUGUUCACAUACAAAAAAUCUAGGGAGUGGGAAUGUGGAUGUUUGUUGUUUGUUGUGUGCUUGAGAUUGUUUUAUAUUCUAAUAUUUUUUAAGUUUAUUUAUUUAUUUUGAGAGACAGAGCACGAGCAGGGGAGAGGAGAGAAAGGGGGAGAGAGAGUAUCGCAAGCAGGCUGCACAAUGUCAGCAUAUAGCCCUACAUGGGGCUCGAUCCCAUGAACUGUGAGGUCAUGACCUUAGCCAAUAUCAAGAGUUGGCUGCUUAACAGACUGAGCCACACAGGUGCCCCUUUAUAUUCUGAAUUUUAAAAACGGUUUUGAUGACAAAAUCCAUGUGUAUAUGCCCAGUUUUUGUAGAUUGUUGCAUAUGCUCAUAUUUUUACCCAAAAGAGUAUUACAAAUUUUGAAAUUCUUAUGCAACAGGAUUUAAAAUAAAAUUACACAGAAUCUCAAGUAUACUAUAUUUUUCCUUUUUUUUUUUUUAAUGUUUUAUUUUAUUUUUGAGAGAGAGACACAGUGUGAGUGGGGAAGGAGCAGAGUGAGAAGGAGACACAGAAUCCAAAGCAGGAUCCAGGCUCUGGGCUGUCAGCACAGAGACCAUCACGGGGCUUGAACCCACGAGCCGUGAGACCACAACCCGAGCUGAAGUCGGCCACCCAACCAACUGAACCACCCAGGCGCCCCAAGAAUACUUACUAUAUUUCUAAAGUGUGAAUGUUUGAGGAACUUAUUUUUAUUUUAUGUUUUUAUUAAUGUAUAGAAAAAAAUCUCCAUAAAAUAUGCUUUUAUCUAAUGAAGAUCCAGUUCCACAUCCUUUUUGCAUGAAUUCCCUUUAUAUCGAAAGCUGCUUGGUUGUUAUAGAAGACAAUUGCUCAUUUGAUAAAGACAUGUUAAAGCUUUGAUAAUAUUUUUGUAAAUUUUUUUUAAUGUUUAUUUAUUUUUGAGAGAAAGAGAGACAGACAGAGAGAGAGCUUGAGCAGGGGAGGGACAGAGAGAGAGAGGGAGACACAGAAUCCAAAGCAGGCUCCAGGCUCUGAGCUGUCUGCACAGAGCCUGACACGGGGCCCGAACUCAUGAACCCUGAGGUCAUGACCUGAGCCGAAGUCAGACACUUAGCCUAUUGUUGGGAAGACUAAGUAGUAUGUGCAAGGCAGACAUGGUCUCCAAAGAAAGAGGUGCCGCAAAGCUUUGAUCAUAUUAAAAAACCUCCAUAUAAAAACAAUAUCAUGGAUUGAACGACAGAGGCAAGUUUCUGUGUCAAGGUUCCCUUUCAAAUUUAUCAGUAAGAAGAGAAUUAGCUUCAUUACCUGAAUUUAUUUUUCAUUAUCCUAAAAUGAUAAAAUAAAUCCAAGGAGACCAUAGCAGGCUCAAAUUGAUGUUACAAAAGCAAUUACUCUGUACUAGCUUUGCAAUUCUUCUGUAAAUCUAAAAAUAUUUCAAAAUCAAUGUUUUUUUUAGAAAAAAAUUACUAUUGUCUCUCCUAUCCAAUGCUAGUAGACAUGUGUCAUAAAGUUGCUUAAAUUUUGUCUGUUUUCUUGGAAUUUCAGAUAUUUCUUCUGCAAGCAUGCUUAUCUGGUUGUACAGUCACAUUUUAGUUAAUUUCAUUAUUUGAACUCCAUGCAAUGUUUUAAAGUUUGUUUAUGUAUGUAUGUAUAUAUGUAUUUAAGUAAUCUCUACACCCAACCUAGGCUUCCAACUAACAACCCUGAGAUCAAGAGCCAAAUGCUCCACUGGGGCGCCUGGCCAGGCACCUCAAACUCCAUGCAAUUUUGUUUUUGAAUAAUAAGGUCUCUGUCUAGAAAGAAAAUCUGAGAACAUAUGGGCUUUUGAAUAAAGGUACAGGCAUGCACCUUAUCUACCAUUGUAAAUGGAGUGGGCUUUUUUCCUUUUAAUAAAGUUGCUGAACUAAUUACCAACUUCUGCAUUGCUGAAAAAUCUGCUUUACAAUGACCUUUGUGUCUCAUUCUUUUCUCAAAGAGAAUAUAAUUUUACUCUGGUCUAUAAAAAUUGUGCUUGAGCAAGAGCAAACAUUUCAUCUACUCUUUUCAAUUUUGUCUUAAAUUAAGAAGCUCCCUUUUUACAAAUUCUUCUUCUGUAUUUUAGAUCUGUUAAUUAAGACGGGGGUGCCUGGGUGGCUCAGUUGUUUGUCCAACUCUCGAUUUUGGCUCAGGUCAUGGUCUCACAGUUUGUGAGAUCAAGCCCUACGUUGGGCUCUGUGCUAUUAGCACAGAAUCCUAACCCUGCUUAGGAUUCUCUCUCUCCCUUUUCUCUGCCCCUCCCUGGCUUGUGCUGUCUCUCAAAAUAAAUAAAUAAACUUAAACAAGAACAAAGAAGGAGAAGAGGAAAACUUGAAGAAGAGUCAAAGGAGAACAAUAAAGAGAAAUGACUAAAACUUAGACAACUGAAGUCAAGAAAUACCAGAAGUAGUUUUCUGGAAGAAGUAUAGGAAAGACCUAAUAAUGGUGUUCCAUAUGUGUGGAUGCUAAUAUAAAAAAACAAAAACAAAAAUUUUGUUUUUAAAAAUUUCUCUUCGGAGCUAAUCAAAUUUAAAAUUUCCAAGUAAGAGUUGGGUUUAAACAGGUGUAGAAACUAGGGUAAAAAAACCAAAUAUCCUAUUGGUAGAAGUCAGUCGUAGUAAAAAGAAAAAUCUAUUUCUGGGCUAAAAGGCCAGGUGAUUUGACCAUAGAAGGAGGGGAUGUCACUUGGCAUUUUAAGGGCCAUUCCUUCGAAAGAAUGUUGACUAGUCACCAGCGGCUUUAUGUGUUGGAAAGAGAUUCUUGUCAACCAGCUUCCAUCUCCUCCUGACUCAAAGAGUCUAUUCCCCUGUGUGGCUUGGUCACUAACCUGGGCAACAAACCAACAGAGAGUUUUGAUACAUCUUGAUUCCACUGGUGUCAUUCUUUUUCUUCUUCACGUUAAACAAUGUCUGGGGGUGCCAGGGUGGCUCAGUUGGUUGAGGCCCCGACUCUUGAUUUCGGUUCAGGUCAUGAUUCCAGGGUUGUGAGAUCGAGUCCCGCUUCAGGGUCUGUGCUGACAACCCAGAGCCUGCCUGGGAUUCUCUCUCCCUCUCUCUCUCUCUCUCUCUCUCUCUCUGCCCCUUUCUCGCCCUCUCUCUCAAAAUAAAUACAUAAACAUUAAAAAAAAAAAAUGUCUGAAAGUUGGUCCUGUCAUACUGAUACCUUGGGAGCCCUGGGGAGUGGUCUCUUUGUGCCGGCCUCUCGUCUUGGUCCCAGGGGCUGGGGUAGUUCAGGAUGACCUUCUGCACAGGGUGUGGGCCUCGCCCGCUGGCUCCCAGGAGGGGCUGCCCGCGUGGCUGGAACACUUGAUGGUAGGCUGCUUGAGGGUGGUCGAGGCCGCCUGCAGGUGAAGACAGCAAAGUGAACAGGGCAGAACGAUUCUAACUCCUUCGUGUGAAAGUAUAAGCUCACUGCCAAUUUUUGUCUCAAUACUGAGGGUUCCAGAUGUCAGCUACCACCUCUGUAACGUCCGCCAUGUUUCCGUACUAUUUUUUAUUUGAUAGUUUUCGGUCAGUCAUUUUUUUCCCCUUAAUAAAAACAUCUGUGAAAUCAUGAGUGUGGUGUUCUAAUUGGAAAGCACGAAGCUCCCCCCAGGCCCCUAUUUUAAUAAGAUAUUUAGGAUGAUCUAACCAUGAGGAUCGGCUCAUACCACCAUUCCUACCAUAAUUUCCCAGGUUUCCAGAACACAAGACUAGGAGAAAUGACCUCCAUGGAAGAUAGAGAAUUCCCCCAAGUGGACACAACGCACACACACUCACACACACACAUAUACCAUUCCCUCUUAAGGAAGAAGUAAAUGAAUGAAAACUUGGCUCAUACCUCUGGGAAGUAGCUAACCAGUUGGCAAUACCUCCUGACCUUUAUUCUUCUCUUUUUGAAGCCUACAUGUGCUUGGGACCAUGGCAGUUAGAUAAGGGCAGGCCUGGUGGCUCAGUCGGUUGAGUGUCUGACUUUGGCUCAGGUCAUGAUCUCGUGAUUCAUGGGUUUGAGCCCCACAUCGGGCUCACUGCUGUCAGUGCAGAGCCUGGAGCCCGCUUCAGAUCCUCUCCCCGCCCCCCCCCCCCCUUUCUCUGUCUCUGUCUCUCUCUCAAAAAUAAAUAAACAUUAGGAAAAAAAUUUAUAGAAAAGGGCAGACCUCAGGACACAGCCAGGGCUGGUGGGGACUUAUGUGCAUGUGUAACCCAAGAGAAAGUUGGUCCCAGCCAGGCCCAGGAGCAGCAGGGUUCCAAGGGAAGGAGGGCAUCCUGCCUGACCAGGUGAAGGAAGAGAAUUCAAGGCCAGAGGAAGGAUGGGGAGAAAGCAGUAAGGAUGAGAGGAAGCCUCUGAGGGAACUCUGAGCCCAGAGGGGCUCAAGAGUGGGAAAUCUAUGGAGCGCCUGGGUGGGUCGGUCGGUUAAGUGUCCAACUUCGGCUCAGGUCAUGAUCUUGUGGUUCGUGAGUUUGAGCCCCGCAUUAGCCUCUGUGCUGAUAGCUUGGAGCCUGGAGCUCGCUUUAGAUUCUAUGUCUCCCUCUCUCUCUCUGUUCCUCCCCUAUUUGCGUGCGCACUCUCUCUCUCUCUCUC